rnacentral:tRNA from 1 species
GGUAGAAUGGCUGAGUUAAAGCAAUAAAUUGUAAAUUUAUUAACGAGAAUCAAUCUCUUCUACCA